rnacentral:piRNA from 1 species
GUUGAGAAGAAGCUAGGUGA